rnacentral:rRNA from 1 species
UGAGGAAUAUUGGACAAUGGUCGGGAGACUGAUCCAGCCAUGCCGCGUGCAGGAAGACUGCCCUAUGGGUUGUAAACUGCUUUUCUACGAGAAGAAUAAGGGGUACGUGUACCUUGAUGACGGUAUCGUAGGAAUAAGCAUCGGCUAACUCCGUGCCAGCAGCCGCGGUAAUACGGAGGAUGCAAGCGUUAUCCGGAAUCAUUGGGUUUAAAGGGUCCGUAGGCGGGCUGUUAAGUCAGGGGUGAAAGNUUGCCGCUUAACGGUAAAAUUGCCUUUGAUACUGGCGGUCUUGAAUGUGUGUGAAGUGAUUAGAAUAUGUAGUGUAGCGGUGAAAUGCAUAGAUAUUACAUAGAAUACCGAUUGCGAAGGCAGGUCACUAACACAUUAUUGACGCUGAUGGACGAAAGCGUGGGUAGCGAACAGGAUUAGAUACCCUGGUAGUCCACGCCGUAAACGAUGGAUACUAGCUGUUGGGGUGCAAGUCUCAGUGGCUAAGCGAAAGUGAUAAGUAUCCCACCUGGGGAGAACGUUCGCAAGAAUG